CCAACCCAGUCUCACGUCUGAACGUGUCACUGUCACGUUAAUUAAUCUAUUGGGACGUGUUGUGUAACACGUUUCCUUGUUAAAAAACGUGUUGAGCAGGACGUAAUUAUCGUGUUACUAUCACGUUGUAUUUCGCAUUCAGCCAGAACCACGUCAUCUGUCAAAAAAGCCCGACCCAAAAUGGCUAGAAUGUUAUUUCAUGCUUUUGACGUGCAGUUUCAUACUCUUAAGCCUGCUUUGAGUUGUGGGUUAGAAGGAGCCACCUUCUAGCUAGCAGUUUUAGAAGGCUGAACCCCAGAAUCCAGAAACAAGAACCGAGCAGGGACGGAGAAAAAAGAAGAAUCCAAAUGGGAAAUGAGAUAAGGCCUCUUCAUUUUCAACUGUGAAGGAUCUACAUGGACUUGGUCUGGAUAGCCUUUCCAGUUUUGAUGAGCCAGUCGGGUCUAGAGGAAAAACCCUAUAUGAGCCCCAGGAUUUUAUGUGGUAUGUAAACGUUCGAAAAACGCCGAAGAGCCCCGUAUAAGAGCCCCAGUGUGAUAGGCUGGUUGCUGUCAUGUGACACACGCCACCACAAGAAAGCGGAAACGCAUCGUAGAGCGAGAGCUGGCCGUGUGGGGUAAGAUCCUUGCUCCUGAUAUCCUGAUGUAUGGGUUGCACUCCAUUAUAUGACUCCAACAGAACACUCACAGAAAGGAGAGUAGUAUCAAACUACAAGACAGCCAGCAUGUAAGCAAGGCCUUGUUUGUCCUUGUUUGGCUACUCAUUUGUCUACUUCCUGAAGAGGCUGAAGCAUGCUGGCCUCCUUGCUUCCAUUAACAGCUGUGUUAUGGAGUGCAUCCUCACAUCAUGGUCUACUGCAGCGGUGGAUACAGAGGACAAUUGGCAGGUUGUUAGCUGUUUGGUUAUCCCCAAAGCAGAAAGACAUGCCAGGAAGGAGCAUGGCAAAGCCCGGGGAUUUUUCUGCAGCUGUUCCUGCCCGUUAUAGAAGGACUGCUCCUGAGAAUAGAUGGGUGUCUACAUCGUUUUGCAAAAUGGGUCUUCUACACAUGAUGUUUGUCAAGCACUGCUCAUUGACUGGCCAGGGGUCCUCUGUAUUGUGACCACUGGUCAAAGGCGCCACAUGACUGUCUCAAAGUCCUCUACAUCAUUCCGGUGACGGGACUUCUGGCCUAGUCUGACAGGAUGGGUCUUGUGUUACUGUGACCAGACGGCUCAACAAUGCAUCAUUCUCAUCCAUGCCCUCAUCGCCUCAAGACUGGAGUACAGCAUUCUCUAUGGUCUUGAAAAAUAUUACUGUCUUUAUUAUUAUUAUUAUUAUUAUUAUUAUUAUUAUUAUUAUUAUUAUUACAGGUCUCUCUGCACCCGAACCAGCAGGUUCAGAGGAAGCUUCUUUUCUGUGGCUGUCACCCGACUGGACUGUAGCUCUGUAUCCCGUGGUGUAUACUACGAAUCUCGAUUAGUCGGUUAGCGAGGUAUGUUGCGCUCAAAGCCAGGGUAUGCUGUGACACGAAAGUGGAUCUGUUUUAGUGUCGCUGUAUCACCAUGGUAUCUU